rnacentral:rRNA from 1 species
AGUGAACGCUGGCGGUAGGCCUAACACAUGCAAGUCGAACGGCAGCACAGUAAGAGCUUGCUCUUACGGGUGGCGAGUGGCGGACGGGUGAGGAAUACAUCGGAAUCUACUUUUUCGUGGGGGAUAACGUAGGGAAACUUACGCUAAUACCGCAUACGACCUACGGGUGAAAGCAGGGGAUCUUCGGACCUUGCGCGAUUGAAUGAGCCGAUGUCGGAUGAGCUAGUUGGCGGGGUAAAGGCCCACCAAGGCGACGAUCGGUAGCUGGUCUGAGAGGAUGAUUAGCUACAUUGGAUGUGAGGCAGGGCACAGACUCCUACGGGGGGCAGCAGUGCGGAAUAUUGCACGAGGGGGGAGAGGCGGAUACAGCCAUACCGGGUGAGUGAUGAAGGAGUUCGGGUGGGAAAGCGAUGUUGUUGGGAAAGAAGAGCAGCAGGUUAAUACCGCGCUGUAAUGACGGUACCGAAAGAAUAAGCACCGGCUAACUUCGUG